ensembl:lncRNA
CUCAGUCAUGGCAGACACAAAUAUUCCCAGAGCAUGCCAAGCUGAUGGAGAAGAAGGCAUGCUGCAAGGCAUGCACUGCAGGGUCCUGGGAGCUGUCUGCUCUGUGCUUUUAUCCCUCCGCUGCUCAUCGCAUUCAGUGGUGGCUGGGAGUGAAACGUAACUUGCUGCUUGACUGACAGCCCUUAAAGCUCCUCGACAGACCUUGGGCCUUAUUUUGAAAGGCCCCUGAAAGAAAAAGGAUUGUGUGCUCUCUGAAUGUGAGGCUGCUGAACCGCUGCCAACUCCAGGCUGCUCCAUUCAAAGGGCUGAGUGAAUAAAUGAGAAUAACAUCCUUGGGGACCUCGAGGAUCGGUUUACGCUGAAAAUCCUCAGCCUUACAAAGGGUCAGAGUCACAAGGCUUCUGAGCUGGCCGGCCAUGGCAUGCAGUGCAGAGAAAAUGUUGGAAUGAAAAGAUGCUUUUGUAUCACUGUUUUCCUUCUGCCUUAUGAAAGUAUACUGCAGCGCCAGGAGAGAAAAGGAAGGUUUCACAACUGGGAGCAUGCAGGAUGGGGAAGAAAACCAAGUGUCCUUGAAAAUAUCUCCUAGGUUGUAUCACAUGUGCUCACAAAUGCCAGAAACUGGAAGGGGAACAGCACCAGGGAAACAGGACUGCUUUAAAAAUAUAAAAAUGCAAAAAUGCUGUGGUAUGUCUAAAGCUGUACUGCAUGUGAAAGCAUGAUAAAAAUGCCUGACUGCACACCUACUUGUAGCAGAGAAGAAUGUAGACAAACCCAUAAAGUCUGGACAAUUCUCUGAGGAACAGAGGAGCUGCCUUCCUGAACAGACCUGUGCUGCUCUCCAGACUGAAAUCUGGCUCCUGAGUGACCUCCACCAGAUGCUCCAGAAGAAGGCGAAAAAAUGUCCUGAAAACCCCAAGGAAGGCAUUAAGGAGACAGUUUGCCAAUAAUGGAGAUUUUUUCAUAAUUGUCUUUAGUCAGUUACUGUCUUACACUCAGUGCAGGAAAGCUUUAAGUGCAUUGUUUAUAUACAAAACAUAUAUUUUAAAAUUGAUCUGCUCAUACAUGCAUUUUGUACGUUAAUUGCACAUGUACGUAUAUAAAGAGCAUGUAUCCCAUAUAAAGGCACAUAUAUGCAGAAACAGACUACAGAAUUUAAAAGCUGAUGCAGCUCUGUGCAUUAAACAGAAAAUAGCUAGAAUGAGUAACUACUGGGGCAAUGUCCUCAUAUUUUAUGCUGAUUCCCAUUCCCAUCUUGUUCUAUCAUUCCCCAUUUGCUGCCUGUCCCUGCUUUUCAACCUGGAAACAUGCCCCUGUGGAGGCAGCUAUCUGCCAGAUUUUCCCAGCAGCAGGACAGUUACUGGUGAAUUAGGAUUACAGCCUCAAAUGUGCUCCAUUCCUCCAGUGGUCCAGCUCUUGUACUUGGCUUGAGAUGCCAGUACCACUGUGCUUGCCCUCUGAGGGAGCCUGGUGCAACCAGCCUGCGAGGCUGCUAAAGAAGCCAGUGUCUGAAGGAAAAUAAAGUGCAUGAGAAAACUCUUUUGAUAUGUAUGUGUCUGCAAUACAUUUUGUCUACUUUGCUGGCUGGGAGGCCAAAUGGUGCCUUUUUUUUUUCAGGAUAGCAAAAUGAAUCAUACUUUCUGUCUUAGGAGUAGCAUUUAUGUGUCUCUGGAAAUGUGAUCCUUUUUCUCUCUGUUACAGACAUGAGCCAGAUGCUUUUCUGUAGUUCACAUAUAUGCAAUAUGCCUUCCUUUCUCUUUUUCCUUUCCUCCCUCCUCCUUCCUUCUUUUUCUCUUCCCCACUCUGGCAUUUCUGUCUUUCUCUUGUAGUGUGUGGACAUACAGUUUUUCCCAGACAAAAGGAGUUUGCUCUUUUUUGUAGAAGGAAAGUUGUGAUUGGAAAAGCUCCACAUUUCUCAGUUUUGAGUGGAGAUUACUUUCACAUUAUUGUCUCAAGAUGUCCCUUAAGUGCCACUGUACUCCCAAGGGAGUGCUUUAUGUUUUGGGAAUUACAAAUAGUGCUAGCUUAAAGACAUGCUGUUUAUAGAAGUCACAGGCACCCACCACCUGGGAAGCUGCUACAGCUGGGACAUACUGCAGAGAGUGCAGGCAGAGGCAGGGUCUGUCAUCCUCACAAGCAGAGGUCUCAGUCCAUCAGUGAUCUUACUGCUUUCUUUCCAGAGCACAGGGGCAAAGGUGCUUUAAGAAAGGAUCUGAAAGCCAGCUGACUGUAGACGUUUACAGCCAGCUCUUCCUGAUUUGAGGAGUUGUGCAGAUGUGGUUGCUUACAAAUGUAACAAUUUGACACAGAUGGGUUAGAGGAAAAGUCUAGCUCUGGGUAUUGAUUUGGAGUCGAGAUUAUGCUGUGAAAUGAAGCCUGAUGGCAUAUGUUGGAAGAGACAGAAUUGAAGCCAAGAAAGAGAGCUGUAACGCAAUCGAAACAGAGAGGCUGGGAAAUGGCCUUUAGAAUGGCAUUCUCCAUCACUGUGAGCAGAGAAAUUGUAUUUGUCAAGACAAGAGGGAAGCCUGUGGCUUCUGUGGUCUGCUCUGCUUCGUCCAGACCAGGACUGAACAAGUCUUUUAAUCUAAAUGGUACUCACUUUACUAGACAGAUUUAUAUAUUGUAUAAGUGUUACAGAAAGGUUCCUGAGCCAGUAUUUGUUCUAAAUCCUUUCCUUUUCAUUUUGUUUUUACUGUGCCCACAAAUGCCCAUUAAAAUCAGGAUCUCAUAGAUCUUGCGGAUACCUGAAUAUUACUGCCACCUUUUUACAGCUAUAGAGGAUGUGAGAAAACAGCAGACUCCCAUUAGCUCAUUCCUGUGGCUGUUCAGCAAUAAGGCCAUACUGGCAGAGAUGGGUGUCCCUGUGCUCUGUUCUUUUGUCUGCCUGUGCUCAGUGCUCCCCUUCUGCCACCUCCAGAAAUCAAAUGGUUGUUGGGUGAGCCAGGGUGGAUCAUGAGACUGCUGUUGGGAAGUGGCCAUUCAUAGCAUGGUUGUGUCAGCACAAGAGCUGAGGCAGUGAGAGAAGAUGGGAGUAUGGAUUUACACCUUUUUCCAGAAGUCUGGUCUGUGUUGGGUGGUCUUUCUUCACCCUGAUGAUCAACUGGCUUUUAAACACUUUUGAUAAUUGUAAAUAGUAAUGUUGAAAUUCCUAGGAGUGUUCUUGUGGUGAACCACAGUGGCUUUCAGAGUGAGCUGUACCCUGAAGGGACAUGAGGGAUUUGGAAAUCUCGCUAAUGGUGCUUGAAAAUAGAAGACAUAGCUCAGCAAAUAAAAUUAUUUACAGGAUGGUAUCUUGUCUUCCAUAUUUUGUCUGGAUAUCUAUUUGCACCAUCUUUUACCCACUCCCUCAUCGUUGACCCUAGGUUAACCCAAUGCUCCCCCAUUCCUCAACUGCCUUCUAGCUUUCUCUUGAUUUAUUAUUAUUACUUUUUAUUUGAUUGCUUGUUUUUCUGAAUCCUUUGUAACUUGUUGGCAUCUCUGUGGUACUACAAUACUAACAAGCAAAUACAGAUUCCUAAGCAAAGCCUUGCAGUAACUGUACAUGAGAAUUUGUGGCUCUGUGUUUUUGUAAACAUAUGAAUUAUGUAUGGCUGUUAUUAAAAUUUUACACCGUGUUACACCACAA